ensembl:processed_transcript
UUUCCAAUCCAAGAAGAUGGCCUUCGGCAGACGGCAAUUCACCCACACACCAUCAACCAAGUGAAUGACUAUCUGAACUCGGCUCGGCUUCAUCGCUCUCAGUGGUGAAGAUGGAUUGCAUUCGUAGAGAUGAAGAGCGGGAGAAAAAAGUAUGGGUGAGAGCCAGAAUACUGUGAGGUCAAGCAUAGACCAAAAUGAAUAUGUAAAAGUUUGCAUGUCAAACCAGGCGUUCGCUUAAUUCCACGGUCCUUUUAUAAUUUCACUGUGAAUUGAAGUAAAUCUGACAGACCCCAUUAAUACCUGAUUUAAACAUCCG